rnacentral:rRNA from 1 species
UGGGGAAUCUUGCGCAAUGGGCGAAAGCCUGACGCAGCGACGCCGCGUGGGUGAUGAAGGCCUUCGGGUUGUAAAGCCCUGUGGGGAGAGACGAAUAAGUCGGAGCCAAUACCUCCGGCGAUGACGGUACCUCCUUAGCAAGCACCGGCUAACUCUGUGCCAGCAGCCGCGGUAAGACAGAGGGUGCAAACGUUGUUCGGAAUUACUGGGCGUAAAGCGUGUGUAGGCGGCCGUGCAAGUCGGAUGUGAAAGCCCCGGGCUCAACCCGGGAAGUGCACCCGAAACUGCAUGGCUUGAGUACCGGAGAGGUUGGUGGAAUUCUCGGUGUAGAGGUGAAAUUCGUAGAUAUCGAGAGGAACACCGGUGGCGAAGGCGGCCAACUGGACGAGUACUGACGCUGAGACACGAAAGCGUGGGGAGCAAACAGGAUUAGAUACCCCCGUAGUCC